rnacentral:rRNA from 3 species
UAACCUGGGGAAACCCAGGCUAAUACCGCAUACGUCCUACGGGAGAAAGGGGGCUUCGGCUCCCGCUAUUGGAUGAGCCUAUGUCGGAUUAGCUAGUUGGUGAGGUAAAGGCUCACCAAGGCAACGAUCCGUAGCUGGUCUGAGAGGAUGAUCAGCCACAUCGGGACUGAGACACGGCCCGAACUCCUACGGGAGGCAGCAGUGGGGAAUAUUGGACAAUGGGCGCAAGCCUGAUCCAGCCAUGCCGCGUGUGUGAAGAAGGCCCUCGGGUUGUAAAGCACUUUCAGCGAGGAAGAACGCCUAGCGGUUAAUACCCGCUAGGAAAGACAUCACUCGCAGAAGAAGCACCGGCUAACUCCGUGCCAGCAGCCGCGGUAAUACGGAGGGUGCAAGCGUUAAUCGGAAUUACUGGGCGUAAAGCGCGCGUAGGUGGCUUGAUAAGCCGGUUGUGAAAGCCCCGGGCUCAACCUGGGAACGGCAUCCGGAACUGUCAAGCUAGAGUGCAGGAGAGGAAGGUAGAAUUCCCGGUGUAGCGGUGAAAUGCGUAGAGAUCGGGAGGAAU